CACGUUGAAACACCGGUUCCCGUAAGAUCACAGAAGUUAAGCAAUGUCGAGCUUGGUUAUUAAAUAUGGGUGACCGCUUGGGAAUUUCACGUGCU